AUGUUGAAUUACCCAGUUACACUCUGCUCUGMAUCAUGCCAUGGUGGUGUCAUCGAGUUGAGGCAUUAUCAGGAAUCUCAAUCAGGGUCCAUCAUCACGAAGAUGGUUGCUAAACUUGACGGAGAUCAUUUAACCACAGGGGAAGGAUUUUUUAAGAAGAGGUUUGAAAACAGGGAUGGAAAAUUCUCUCUAACCAUCUCCUCAGCUGAGUACAAUGARAUGGGGUUGUACGAGUGUGUCUGUGGCAAGUACAAACAGCAUGUAAAUCUACAAGUAUUGGUCCCCACUGAAAUAUCUGCCCAUGUUGGAGGAAAUGUCACACUUGCCUGCCAUGGCUUAACUAAUAAAAUGACAAAGGACAGUGAGAUAUUUGUCCAGUGGAUGAAAGAUGGACAGAAUGUGUCUACCAUCAGUGCAGGGAAUAUAACCUAUGGCUCUGGGUAUAAGGACAGGGUAUCUGUGUCCAUGGAUGGUUACCGAAAGGGCGACAUUUUCCUCAACCUCACCGACUUACGCCUUUCUGAUCAGGGGACAUACUGGUGCUUCUUCGGCCCUGACCACCAGAGAGGAAAUCCAGGAGCUGUCAUUCUCCACUAUCACACCAAAAGAAAAGCCAGACGACAACACAGAAUGCCAACAUGGGUGAAGGGGUGGUGUUGGUGGUUGUUUUGGUGAUCAUCCUAGUUGCUGUUACUGUUUUCUUGGAGGUAGAUUGAAAGAGACAAUGGUGCUUGGUUUAAAGGGACUUGUGUUGAGAUCUCAGUUCAAUCCCUGUCUAGAAGGGGAACAGGGUGGGGAGCAUCUCUCUGUCACCAUAAGUGAAAGUGAAUCAGAGACAGAAGAAGACAGGACUGGGACAAGGACAUGUUUUGUCCCCUAUGCACCUGCCUGUAUCAUCAGAGCCCUGUCGGACCUCCCUCUACCACUGGCCUUGUUACCAAGGCUACUGCCGGACCUCCUCUUACCCCAGGCCUUGUUAUCAAGGCUACUGAUGACCUCCCUCUAUCCCAGGCCUAGUUACCAAUGGUACUGAUUGCCUCCCUCUAUCCCAGGCCUUGUCACAAUGGUACU
rnacentral:lncRNA from 1 species